rnacentral:tRNA from 1 species
GGCCCUCUGGCGGAAUGGUAGACGCGAUUGACUCAAAAUCAAUUGUUGCAAGACGUCCCGGUUCGAGUCCGGGGAGGGCCACCA